AAACCGAAGAGUUUACUCUUCGGGGUUGUAGGACUGCAAUGUGGACUCAAAGAUUAUAGAAGAAUGAUUUGGGAAGAUCAGCCAAAGAGAGUAAUAGCCUCGUAUUUAAAAUAGUCUUUGUACUUAGCAGUAUCCUGAGUACGGCGGGACACGUGAAAUCCCGUCGGAAUCUGGGAGGACCAUCUCCCAACCCUAAAUACUCCCUAGUGACCGAUAGUGAACCAGUACCGUGAGGGAAAGGUGAAAAGCACCCCGGGAGGGGAGUGAAAUAGAACCUGAAACCGUGUGCCUACAACAAGUUCGAGCCCGUUAAUGGGUGAGAGCGUGCCUUUUGUAGAAUGAACCGGCGAGUUACGUUAUGAUGCGAGGUUAAGUUGAAGAGACGGAGCCGUAGGGAAACCGAGUCUGAAUAGGGCGCCUUAGUAUCAUGACGUAGACCCGAAACCAUGUGACCUACCCAUGAGCAGGUUGAAGGUGCGGUAAGACGCACUGGAGGACCGAACCAGGGCACGUUGAAAAGUGCUUGGAUGACUUGUGGGUAGCGGAGAAAUUCCAAACGAACUUGGAGAUAGCUGGUUCUCUCCGAAAUAGCUUUAGGGCUAGCGUCGACAUUAGAGAUUCUUGGAGGUAGAGCACUGUUUGGGUGAGGGGUCCAUCCCGGAUUACCAAUCUCAGAUAAACUCCGAAUGCCAAUGAAUUAUGGUCGGCAGUCAGACUGCGAGUGCUAAGAUCCGUAGUCGAAAGGGAAACAGCCCAGACCACCAGCUAAGGUCCCAAAAUAAUUGUUAAGUGGAAAAGGAUGUGGGGUUGCACAGACAACUAGGAUGUUAGCUUAGAAGCAGCUAUUCAUUCAAAGAGUGCGUAAUAGCUCACUAGUCGAGUGACCCUGCGCCGAAAAUGUACCGGGGCUAAAACAAUUUACCGAAGCUGUGGAUACCUUUAUAGGUAUGGUAGGAGAGCGUUCUAUGUGUGAUGAAGGUAUACCGUGAGGAGUGCUGGAACGCAUAGAAGUGAGAAUGCCGGUAUGAGUAGCGAAAGACAGGUGAGAAUCCUGUCCACCGUAAGACUAAGGUUUCCAGGGGAAGGCUCGUCCGCCCUGGGUUAGUCGGGACCUAAGGAGAGACCGAAAGGUGUAUCCGAUGGACAACAGGUUGAUAUUCCUGUACUAGAGUAUGUAGUGAUGGAGGGACGCAGUAGGCUAACUAAAGCAGACGAUUGGAAGAGUCUGUCUAAGCAGUGAGGUGUGAAUUGAGUCAAAUGCUUAAUUCUAUAACAUUGAGCUGUGAUGGGGAGCGAAGUUUAGUAGCGAAGUUAGUGACGUCACACUGCCAAGAAAAGCUUCUAGCGUUUAAACAUACUCUACCCGUACCGCAAACCGACACAGGUAGUCGAGGCGAGUAGCCUCAGGUGAGCGAGAGAACUCUCGUUAAGGAACUCGGCAAAAUGACCCCGUAACUUCGGGAGAAGGGGUGCUGACUUUAAGUCAGCCGCAGUGAAUAGGCCCAAGCAACUGUUUAUCAAAAACACAGCUCUCUGCUAAAUCGUAAGAUGAUGUAUAGGGGGUGACGCCUGCCCGGUGCUGGAAGGUUAAGAGGAGUGCUUAGCGUAAGCGAAGGUAUGAAUUGAAGCCCCAGUAAACGGCGGCCGUAACUAUAACGGUCCUAAGGUAGCGAAAUUCCUUGUCGGGUAAGUUCCGACCCGCACGAAAGGCGUAAUGAUUUGGGCACUGUCUCAACGAGAGACUCGGUGAAAUUUUAGUACCUGUGAAGAUGCAGGUUACCCGCGACAGGACGGAAAGACCCCAUGGAGCUUUACUGCAGUUUGAUAUUGAGUGUCUGUACCACAUGUACAGGAUAGGUAGGAGUCUAAGAGAUCGGGACGCCAGUUUCGAAGGAGACGCUGUUGGGAUACUACCCUUGUGUUAUGGCCACUCUAACCCAGAUAGGUGAUCCCUAUCGGAGACAGUGUCUGACGGGCAGUUUGACUGGGGCGGUCGCCUCCUAAAAGGUAACGGAGGCGCCCAAAGGUUCCCUCAGAAUGGUUGGAAAUCAUUCGCAGAGUGUAAAGGUAUAAGGGAGCUUGACUGCGAGAGCUACAACUCGAGCAGGGACGAAAGUCGGGCUUAGUGAUCCGGUGGUUCCGUAUGGAAGGGCCAUCGCUCAACGGAUAAAAGCUACCCUGGGGAUAACAGGCUUAUCUCCCCCAAGAGUUCACAUCGACGGGGAGGUUUGGCACCUCGAUGUCGGCUCGUCGCAUCCUGGGGCUGUAGUCGGUCCCAAGGGUUGGGCUGUUCGCCCAUUAAAGCGGCACGCGAGCUGGGUUCAGAACGUCGUGAGACAGUUCGGUCCCUAUCCGUCGCGGGCGUAGGAAAUUUGAGAGGAUCUGCUCCUAGUACGAGAGGACCAGAGUGGACUUACCGCUGGUGUACCAGUUGUCUUGCCAAAGGCAUCGCUGGGUAGCUAUGUAGGGAAGGGAUAAACGCUGAAAGCAUCUAAGUGUGAAACCCACCUCAAGAUGAGAUUUCCCAUGAUUAUAUAUCAGUAAGAGCCCUGAGAGAUGAUCAGGUAGAUAGGUUAGAAGUGGAAGUGUGGCGACACAUGUAGCGGACUAAUACUAAUAGCUCGAGGACUUAUCCAA
rnacentral:rRNA from 1 species